UAUUUCAGCAAGACUAAAAAUUCUAAAGGUACCUGAUUCAGUUUGAUUUGGGAAGCUAAGCAAAGCCAGUCCUGGUUAAUACAUGGAUGGGAGAUUGCCAAUGAAUACCAGGUGCUGUAGGCU
rnacentral:rRNA from 11 species